ACCAUUACACCAUUACGACGAAGAAGAAGCAGCCGCAGCGCGCCCACGUCGUCGUCGUCUCCACCAUCGUCGUCUCCACCAUCUUCGUCUUCUCCACCAUCGUCGUCUCCACCAUCUUCGUCUUCUCCAUCUUCGUCUCCACCAUCGUCGUCGUCGUCGUCGUCGACGACGAAGAAGAAGCAGACCGCAUGCGCCAUGCGCGCCCGCUCAAAGCGU
rnacentral:lncRNA from 1 species